GAGUUUGAUCCUGGCUCAGGAUGAACGCUGGCGGGAGGCUUAACACAUGCAAGUCGAGGGGUAUAAGUAGCAAUAUUUAGAGACCGGCGCACGGGUGAGUAACGCGUAUGCAACCUGCCCUUUACAGGGGGAUAGCCCGUAGAAAUGCGGAUUAAUACCCCAUAGUACUAUUGGAUCGCAUGGUUUGAUAGUUAAAGUUUCGGCGGUAAAGGAUGGGCAUGCGUGACAUUAGCUAGUUGGUGAGGUAACGGCUCACCAAGGCUACGAUGUCUAGGGGUUCUGAGAGGAAGAUCCCCCACACUGGUACUGAGACACGGACCAGACUCCUACGGAAGGCAGCAGUGAGGAAUAUUGGUCAAUGGGCGGGAGCCUGAACCAGCCAUCCCGCGUGCAGGAAGAAUGCCCUAUGGGUUGUAAACUGCUUUUUCGCAUGAAGAACACUCCGGUCGUGACCGGAGCUGACGGUAAUGCGUGAAUAAGCACCGGCUAACUCCGUGCCAGCAGCCGCGGUAAUACGGAGGGUGCAAGCGUUAUCCGGAUUUAUUGGGUUU
rnacentral:rRNA from 1 species